rnacentral:rRNA from 1 species
ACCAGACUCCUACGGGAGGCAGCAGUGGGGAAUAUUGCACAAUGGGGGAAACCCUGAUGCAGCGACGCCGCGUGAGUGAAGAAGUAUUUCGGUAUGUAAAGCUCUAUCAGCAGGGGAGAAGAAAGACGGUACCUGACUAAGAAGCCCCGGCUAACUACGUGCCAGCAGCCGCGGUAAUACGUAGGGGGCAAGCGUUAUCCGGAUUUACUGGGUGUAAAGGGAGCGUAGACGGCUGUGCAAGUCUGAAGUGAAAGCCCAGGGCUCAACCCUGGGACUGCAUUUGAAACUGUCAGGCUGGAGUGCAGGAGAGGUAAGUGGAAUUCCUAGUGUAGCGGUGAAAUGCGUAGAUAUUAGGAGGAACACCAGUGGCGAAGGCGGCUUACUGGACUGUAACUGACGUUGAGGCUCGAAAGCGUGGGGAGCAAACAGGAUUAGAUACCCCAGUAC